CGUUCUAUGGCCGAACUGGUGAAGGCAUCGUCGUUUACAUGCGAAGAUGCGGGUUCGAGUCCCGCUGGAACGG
rnacentral:tRNA from 1 species